rnacentral:misc_RNA from 1 species
ACUUUCGGCCUGAGCGCGAAACAUCUUAUAAUUGAAUUAAAAAAAUAGAAUACAUAGACUCUCUCUAUUAUCCAAACAGGGUUUGAAUUUCAUAGUUAAACAAUUAGUAAAGCCUGAUUGGAAAAUAAAAGCAAAGAUUCACACAUUCCAGACAUGGGUAUGAAGGCUAAAAUUAGCAUCCUAAAAAACGUUGCAAGGAACUUAUCUUCUAAAAAUUAUUGUACAUCAUUUUUCUUUCAGAAAAUUUGGGCACUACAUGAUCGUUUAUAGUGAUCAAUCUGAGCAUCUUUGUUUGUUUGCAUGAUUAAUCUCAGAUAUAUUUGCAACACCUUAUCCCUUCACUAUUUUUUUGAUCUAAUGUGCUAAUAAUUCGUGUGGACAGGAUAUAGCAAUCUCUAUUGCAAGCUGCGGAUGAAUAUAUAGUAAAAAAAUGCAGAUCUUCGAAUGCAGGAUAAAUGAGUACUAGAAAACUGAUUUGCAUUCCUGAUAGGUGUUCUUCACAAAACUUUGUUGAUGGAUCACCUCCUUCCACGACUUCCAUGGCCAGAUCUUGGACCAGGGUACCGAGAAAACUCUAGCCUCAAGUGGUUAGAUUCACGGUCAUGUUCAUCCAAUUUAUAACCUGCAGAAUCAAGCCACAAAGUUAGAAUCAACUGGAAUUUCAGAAAAGCAGUAACACUUGAAGAACCAUGUAAAGAAUUAUAAUCCUACAUUUUCAAGGUCUUAGACAUACAACUCAUCCCCAUAUUUUCAGUUUCAGCUCCCAAUUAAUGGCAACUAUCUCUUCUUUACUUGGAAUGGUGACACAUAACAUACAAGUCUUGACACACAAGAGUCUUUCUUACUUUUAUAAUUAAUUAAGUCAGACUGCAACAUAAGUAACAAGCUUCUGUACCAAAGAGACACAGUGCUGCGUCAACAUCAUCACUAUCAUGAUUAAGAAAAUGGUUUGUAGCAGGAAGUUUAUCCAGAGAUAAUGCAACAAAAGGAACAUUAAGAGUUGGCACAUGACCAAGUAAAACAUUAAUAUGAUGCAUUUAUACAAACACACAAAAGUGCAUGCACACAUUUAUAUAACAGGGCGUGAUAAAACAGCAGUUGAUAUUGUCAAAUUGUGAACCUCCCCAUCAUUGGUUUCUUUAAAGAUUUAGAAAAAGAGAAUAUCAUUACCUUGCAAGGCACUCAAUGCAGUUGCUGCACAGGCUGGAUUUUCAAAAUCAACGAAACAAAGUAUAAUAGGAUCUCCACGCUGCAUUAUCAAUGAAUAGAGUCACAAUCCUAACAAGCCCACAUGCAAGAAGGCAUGUAUGGCAAGAUAGUUUGUAAAACAGACACUUACAUGUUUGAAUUCUUUGCUUACAAGUCUAACUUCCUUAUAUCCUACAAAAGGGCGAAAGAUAUCUAACGGUCCAGUAAAGGAACACAAAAGAAGGGAGGAAGGGGAGGGAAUACCUCCAGUAAAUAAUGAGAAAAAAUAGACACCACAAUUGUACAACAUUGCUACAACAUCAAGAGGAUACGAGCUACUUCCCUCCUUGUGCUGUCAGAAGGGAGUCCCUCAACAUAUAGAGUGCUGGAAGCAUCUGGAGGUAGAGGUAUAGUUUCACGAACAGGCCUAGCUGUUGUAUCCACUGAAGGCUGACUACGGAAAACAAUGUCCUGACCAUUUGGUGCCAGAUCUGGACCUCUAGCACGAGGAUGGCCUGUUAUACCAGAAUCAAGUAUUGGAAGACCAGUCAUCGCACUACUGGCAGCCCUUCCCAACCCAGCACUUAAUCCACUAGCUUCUCCGGAAGAAAAAGGAGUAAUUUGCUUUAAAAGCAAUUAGGAUGAGUAUUUAAGCAAACAACCUUGUAUGUUCAUAAUGGGAAAAUAUAAAAAUAACAAAAAGGCACAAGUUUUAAAGGGUACCGCAUUUUGCAGAUAUCGGUCGUACGCUGAUCCAAUUGUUUUUGUGUCCUUCACAGCCUGAUACCUAUUUUGAUCCCCAUCUUUUGGAUAAUAGUUAUGAAUCUCAUGGCUCAUAGGCAACACUGAAGAUGGGAGAUCUGCAAUCUCAAAAACAUAAUUUAAUCCUACAUGGUAUCUAAUUCUCUUUGUCAAAUGUAUCCAUACAGCAGUUGAACAUGGAAAAUGGCAAGGAAGAAAAAGUCAACCAGACAACAGACACCUUUAUUUGAAUUUUAAAUGCCAAGGCAAUAGGCAUUUAAUUUGAGAGCUGCAAUUUAUGCAUUACAUUAGAAGUGAAUUGAUGAUACUUCUACCAUAUGCCUUCCCACUUGUAGCAGGAUAAAGCAAUGGUAGGCAGAAAGCCAAUUUACUAGAAAGAAUAUUAACAUCUGUAACUUCUAGUAUUUGUGAACCAAUAUCAUUCCAAAAGUGUUUUAGCUUAAGUAGAAAAUCCCACCUAAGAAGGCAAAGAUAGGGAACCUUGAAGUUGAGAAAAAGCCAAUUAAUAAAUGUGUUUCAAUCGACUUUAGGAUUUUGCAGUAAGGAUAAAACCCCUCCACCAUCUCAUUAAGUUUCAAACUAGAAUAUCACAGAAAGAGUAGGUCUAAGACCAAUAAAAACUCAAAAAGAUUAAUAUUGCAAUUAUAAAUCGGCUAUUACAGAGCAACUUGGGGCAGUGUUAGCUCAUAAUUCAGCAAAAAAGACAAUCUUUAAUGGGUAAUGCUCACUUAUUAAGUCCUAAUUCAAUAAAGGAAGGCAGGAAAAAAUAAUUUGAAGUACUAUUUCAACAACAGACUUGUUAACAAGACUUUGCAUCAGCAACAAUGCAGACCAAAAAACAAACUACCGAAAGAAGAAUCUUAGAGUGACUUGAAAAAGAGGUAAUGCACGAAAUAAAACAACAGUAUAGAUCAAAAUGAAUGACACAAAACACAAAUUGCAUCAAUAAUAAGGAAUAACGUUCACAACUGUGAUACAUAUGAAAGUGGUUCUAUUCUCUAUAAUUCCUGCGGACACUGUAGGGAUCCGUAUUUCACAUAGGAAAAAUGCAGGAAUUCCUUCCAUAAUAACAUCUUCGAUGAGUAAAUUCAUUGUUGGCACGGAUAAACUAUAGAAUCAGAGCAAAAGCUUGUCCUCUAGCACCACACCAGAUUAUGCUAAUCCCAAUUUGAGUUAUUGAUUUCUCACAAAAUUCACCAAUUCCCAAUGGUAUUGCAUUAAAAAAUAGGAUCACCUCACAAAUUGGGUCCUAAUUCUUUAAUUAAAUUUCUAUGAUUUUCCUUAAGUUACUAAAUCUCCAACUAAGUUUUGCAUAAUGCCUUACUAACGAAGAAGCAUACCGUAGUCGGAACGAGGUCGCUUUAAACUGCCACCAGAGAGGAGAAGACGCUGCUGCUGCUGCUGCCGAUUCCAAUAACCGUCCGUCAUGUCUCGGCCUGACGGUUGAUUUCGGUGAGAAACAGAGAAAGUUCUCGAUUUCAGCUACAGAAUGGAGAUUUGUCCAAAGAUUAAACAAAAACAAAACCCUAAUUUCGAUACCCGUUGAUUGGGUCUGCCAGGGGGGGGAAUCAAUUCAAAGCUCAG